AGGAUCCAACUCAAGGCUUCAAUUAGAUUUGUGUCUGUUAACCGUUCAGUUGCAAUUACUUCCUCUCAGUCUAGAAUUGGCAAAGUCAUUGUAACUCGCCAUACACGGAAGCAUAACGUUUCACCGGUGAUCUGGUUUAUUCCUGGAUUUCGGCAGCCCCACAGAGAUGCUGCCUGACCUGCUGAGUGUUUCCAGUGUUUUCUGGCUUUGCUCCUGCCAUCCCAUUCCUUGCAACUCUCGGAUCAUCUUGUCCCUGUAAACCACCACAGAGUUAUUGCCCUCUAGUUUCAAGGACAGCUUCAAUCCCACUGUUAACAGAUUCUUGAAUGGUCUUCUUGUAUGAUGCAAUCCAGCCUGCUGAGUUCCUUCAGCAUUUUGCGUAUUGGAUGAAGUAGUGGUGUCAAGAAAACAACCUCUCCCUCCAUGUUGCAAAAACAAAGGAGCUGGUUGUGGAUUACAGGAGAAAUGGAGAUGGACUAGCCCCUAUUGACAUCAAUGGAUCUGAGGUUGAGAGGGUGAACAGCUUCGUUCCUCAGCAUAAACAUCACCAAGGACAUCAUGUGGUCUGUACACCUCAGCUGUGUGGUGAAAAAGGCACAACAGUGCUCUUUCACCUCAGCUGGUUGAGGAAGUUUGGUAUGGGCCCAAAUCCUAGGAAAUUUCUACAGGGGCACAAUUGAGAGCAUCCUGUCCGGCUUCAUCACUGCCUCAAUCUCAGGACUCUGCAGAGAGUGGUGUGGACAGUCCAGCGCAUCUGUAGCUGUGAACUUCUUAUGAUUCAGGACAUUUACAAGGAGAGCUGUGUAAAAGGGGCCUGUAGGAUCACUGGGGACCCAAGCCAACCCAGCCACAAUCUAUUCCAUCUGCUACCAUCCGGGAAACGGUACAACAGCAUAAAAGCCAGGACCAACAGGCUCCGGGACAGCUUCUUCCACCAGGCCAUCAGACUGAUGAACUCACACUGAUUUGAAUGUACUUUAUAUUACACUGACUG